rnacentral:rRNA from 1 species
AACGAACGCUGGCGGCGCGUUUUAAGCAUGCAAGUCGAAGGAUGCGAUUUUAGCAAUAGAGUCGUAGACUGGCGAACGGGUGAGUAACACGUGAAAAUCUAUCUUAAGAUGGGGGAUAGUCGGUAGAAAUACCGGGUAAUACCGCAUGUGCCGAGAGGUGAAAGCUCCAAUUGGAGCGUCUUUAGAUGAGUUUGCGUUCCAUUAGCUAGUUGGUGGGGUAAUGGCCUACCAAGGCGACGAUGGAUAGCCGGCCUGAGAGGGUGUACGGCCACAUUGGGACUGAGACACGGCCCAGACUCCUACGGGAGGCAGCAGCUAAGAACAUUCCGCAAUGGGAGCAAUCCUGACGGAGCGACGCCGCGUGUAUGAUGAAGGCAGAAAUGUUGUAAAGUACUUUUGCGCGGGAAGAAUAAUGAUAGGAGUGGAAAGUCUAUCAGAUGACGGUACCGCGCGAAUAAGCCACGGCUAACUACGUGCCAGCAGCCGCGGUAAAACG